rnacentral:rRNA from 1 species
GUAGGUGGCAAGCGUUGUCCGGAAUUAUUGGGCGUAAAGCGCGCGCAGGCGGUUCUUUAAGUCUGAUGUGAAAGCCCACGGCACAACCGUGGAGGGUCAUUGGAAACUGGAGAACUUGAGUACAGAAGAGGAAAGCGGAAUUCCACGUGUAGCGGUGAAAUGCGUAGAGAUGUGGAGGAACACCAGUGGCGAAGGCGGCUUUCUGGUCUGUAACUGACGCUGAGGCGCGAAAGCGUGGGGAGCAAACAGGAUUAGAUACCCUGGUAGUCCACGCCGUAAACGAUGAGUGCUAAGUGUUAGGGGGUUUCCGCCCCCCUUAGUGCUGCAGCUAACGCAUUAAGCACUCCGCCUGGGAGUACGGCCGCAAGGCUG